rnacentral:rRNA from 1 species
UACGGGGGGGGCAAGCGUUGUUCGGAAUUACUGGGCGUAAAGGGCUCGUAGGCGGCCAACUAAGUCAGACGUGAAAUCCCUCAGCUUAACUGGGGAACUGCGUCUGAUACUGGAUGGCUUGAGAUUGGGAGAGGGAUGCGGAAUUCCAGGUGUAGCGGUGAAAUGCGCAGAUAUCGGGAGGAACACCAAUGGCGAAGGCAGCUCGCUGGGACGUUACUGACGCUGAGACGCGAAAGCGUGGGGAGCAAACAGG